AUUGAACGCUGGCGGCAGGCCUAACACAUGCAAGUCGAGCGGCAGCGGGAAGUAGCUUGCUACUUUGCCGGCGAGCGGCGGACGGGUGAGUAAUGUCUGGGAAACUGCCCGAUGGAGGGGGAUAACUACUGGAAACGGUAGCUAAUACCGCAUAACGUCGCAAGACCAAAGAGGGGGACCUUCGGGCCUCUUGCCAUCGGAUGUGCCCAGAUGGGAUUAGCUAGUAGGUGGGGUAACGGCUCACCUAGGCGACGAUCCCUAGCUGGUCUGAGAGGAUGACCAGCCACACUGGAACUGAGACACGGUCCAGACUCCUACGGGAGGCAGCAGUGGGGAAUAUUGCACAAUGGGCGCAAGCCUGAUGCAGCCAUGCCGCGUGUAUGAAGAAGGCCUUCGGGUUGUAAAGUACUUUCAGCGGGGAGGAAGGUGUUGAGGUUAAUAACCUCAGCAAUUGACGUUACCCGCAGAAGAAGCACCGGCUAACUCCGUGCCAGCCGCCGCAGUAA
rnacentral:rRNA from 1 species